AUGCAGUCGAACGGUAAGGCCCCUUCGGGGGUACACGAGUGGCGAACGGGUGAGUAACACGUGGGUAAUCUGCCCUGCACUUCGGGAUAAGCCUGGGAAACCGGGUCUAAUACCGGAUAUGAACUCCUGCCGCAUGGUGGGGGUUGGAAAGUUUUUCGGUGCAGGAUGAGCCCGCGGCCUAUCAGCUUGUUGGUGGGGUAAUGGCCUACCAAGGCGACGACGGGUAGCCGGCCUGAGAGGGUGAUCGGCCACACUGGGACUGAGACACGGCCCAGACUCCUACGGGAGGCAGCAGUGGGGAAUAUUGCACAAUGGGCGAAAGCCUGAUGCAGCGACGCCGCGUGGGGGAUGACGGUCUUCGGAUUGUAAACCCCUUUCAGUAGGGACGAAGCGCAAGUGACGGUACCUGCAGAAAAAGCACCGGCUAACUACGUGCCAGCAGCCGCGGUAAUACGUAGGGUGCGAGCGUUGUCCGGAAUUACUGGGCGUAAAGAGCUCGUAGGCGGUUUGUCACGUCGUCUGUGAAAUCCCUCGGCUUAACCGGGGGCGUGCAGGCGAUACGGGCAGACUUGAGUACUACAGGGGAGACUGGAAUUCCUGGUGUAGCGGUGAAAUGCGCAGAUAUCAGGAGGAACACCGGUGGCGAAGGCGGGUCUCUGGGUAGUAACUGACGCUGAGGAGCGAAAGCAUGGGUAGCGAACAGGAUUAGAUACCCUGGU
rnacentral:rRNA from 1 species